CCUACGGGUGGCAGCAGUGGGGAAUAUUGCACAAUGGGGGAAACCCUGAUGCAGCAACGCCGCGUGAGUGAUGACGGCCCUCGGGUUGUAAAGCUCUUUCUUUAUGGACGUAAAUGACGGUAUCUGAGGUGGAAGCCACGGCUAACUACGUGCCAGCAGCCGCGGUAAUACGGCGGUGGCCGGCGUUAUCCGGAUUUACUGGGCGUAAGGGGAGCGUAGGCGGACUUUUAAGUGAGAUGUGAAAUACUCGGGCUCAACUUGAGUGCUGCAUUUCAAACUGGAAGUCUAGAGUGCAGGAGAGGAGAAUGGAAUUCCUGGUGUAGCGGUGAAAUGCGUAGAGAUUAGGAAGAACACCAGUGGCGAAGGCGAUUCUCUGGACUGUAACUGACGCUGAGGCUCGAAAGCGUGGGGAGCAAACAGGAUUAGAUACCCCAGUAGUC
rnacentral:rRNA from 1 species